rnacentral:rRNA from 1 species
AGAGUUUGAUCCUGGCUCAGGAUGAACGCUGGCGGCGUGCUUAACACAUGCAAGUCGAACGAACCUUCGGGUUAGUGGCGGACGGGUGUGUAACGCGUGGGAAUCUGCCCUCAGGAGGGGGAUAACGGCUGGAAACGGCCGCUAAUACCCCAUAUGCCGAGAGGUGAAAUGAAUUUCGCCUGAGGAUGAGCCCGCGUCUGAUUAGCUAGUUGGUGUGGUAAUGGCUCACCAAGGCUUCGAUCAGUAGCUGGUCUGAGAGGAUGAUCAGCCACACUGGGACUGAGACACGGCCCAGACUCCUACGGGAGGCAGCAGUGGGGAAUUUUCCGCAAUGGGCGAAAGCCUGACGGAGCAACGCCGCGUGAGGGAUGAAGGCCUCUGGGCUGUAAACCUCUUUUUUCAAGGAAGAAGACCUGACGGUACUUGAAGAAUAAGCCACGGCUAAUUCCGUGCCAGCAGCCGCGGUAAUACGGGAGUGGCAAGCGUUGUCCGGAAUUAUUGGGCGUAAAGCGUCCGCAGGCGGCCCUGAAAGUCUGUCGUUAAAGCGUGGAGCUCAACUCCAUUUAAGCGAUGGAAACUACAGGGCUAGAGUGUGGUAGGGGCAGAGGGAAUUCCCGGUGUAGCGGUGAAAUGCGUAGAUAUCGGGAAGAACACCAGUGGCGAAGGCGCUCUGCUGGGCCAUAACUGACGCUCAUGGACGAAAGCCAGGGGAGCGAAAGGGAUUAGAUACCCCUGUAGUCCUGGCCGUAAACGAUGAACACUAGGUGUCGGGGGAAUCGACCCCCUCGGUGUCGUAGCCAACGCGUUAAGUGUUCCGCCUGGGGAGUACGCACGCAAGUGUGAAACUCAAAGGAAUUGACGGGGGCCCGCACAAGCGGUGGAGUAUGUGGUUUAAUUCGAUGCAACGCGAAGAACCUUACCAGGGUUUGACAUCCUGCGAAUCCCUUGGAAACGAGGGAGUGCCUUCGGGAGCGCAGAGACAGGUGGUGCAUGGCUGUCGUCAGCUCGUGUCGUGAGAUGUUGGGUUAAGUCCCGCAACGAGCGCAACCCACGUCGUUAGUUGCCAGCAUUCAGUUGGGCACUCUAGCGAGACCGCCGGUGAUAAACCGGAGGAAGGUGUGGAUGACGUCAAGUCAUCAUGCCCCUUACAUCCUGGGCUUCACACGUACUACAAUGCUACGGACAAAGGGCAGCAAGCUCGCGAGGGUUAGCAAAUCCCAUAAACCGUGGCUCAGUUCAGAUCGUAGGCUGCAACUCGCCUACGUGAAGGAGGAAUCGCUAGUAAUCGCAGGUCAGCAUACUGCGGUGAAUACGUUCCCGGGCCUUGUACACACCGCCCGUCACACCAUGGAAGUUGGCCACGCCCGAAGUCGUUACUCCAACCCUUGUGGAGGAGGACGCCGAAGGUGGGGCUGAUGACUGGGGUGAAGUCGUAACAAGGUA